UAUAUAUUAGUGUAAUAGCACAAAAAUUUUUGAAAUUUUAAGUAAUAAUUUAUUAUUAUUAUAUAUAU
rnacentral:tRNA from 1 species